rnacentral:rRNA from 1 species
UACGAAGGGGGCUAGCGUUGCUCGGAAUUACUGGGCGUAAAGGGCGCGUAGGCGGACAGUUAAGUCGGGGGUGAAAGCCCGGGGCUCAACCUCGGAAUUGCCUUCGAUACUGGCUGUCUUGAGUAUGGGAGAGGUGUGUGGAACUCCGAGUGUAGAGGUGAAAUUCGUAGAUAUUCGGAAGAACACCAGUGGCGAAGGCGACACACUGGCCCAUUACUGACGCUGAUGCGCGAAAGCGUGGGGAGCAAACAGG